GGGUGUAGCUUUUCCCCAUAAGAAUGUCACCCAGUGUCAUCUCUGUCCUUCAUUCAUCCUUUACUUCUGCCACUCUCCACUAGGCUCACCCUUUCCCUGAUCUUUGCUUGGCUAUCCUGAUUUGCCUUUUUCAUUGCCAGGAAGCCACUUAGCAUGGCCUUUUUCAGGGAUGAGUUUGAGGAGAAAAUGUAGGAAAUAACAGGACAAAUAAAAGUUAUGUCCAAUUCUUCUUAAAAUCCAGUGACUUGAUUAUAAAACAUGGAGUCAUAAAAGUAAGAAUAAAUGAAUGUUUGGAUGUCUCUUGACACGAUCUGGAACAGGCUAAGAGAUGCUAAAAAGAGACUGAUAGGGGAGCGAGGAUUUCUUUUCUAGCAAACAGACAUGAUGAAUGGAAGUUAGCUUUGAUUAAUGGAAAGUGUGAGGACUGAAGGCUCAAGAGCUACAGCCUCUGUUCAGCUCACACCCGUCAUGAGUCCAGCUGUUAGCACAGUGCUGAGCACAGUGUGAGUCAGUAAGUGGAUGCUGAAUUGGUAAAUAUUGGUCCUGUUUGUUGGAAUAUUUUGAAAGAAAUGUCAA
rnacentral:lncRNA from 1 species